rnacentral:rRNA from 1 species
AAUGGACGUUGGCGGCGUGGAUUAGGCAUGCAAGUCGAGCGAUAAGCUUUUGAUUGAUCUUUCGAGUGAAGUCAGAGGUGGACAGCGGCGCAAGGGAGAGUAACGCGUAGAUCACGUACCCUGGGGUUUGGGAUAGCGGGGAGAAAUCGCCGGUAAUACCAAAUAAUGUUUCCGAACCAAAGAUUUAUUGCCCUGGGAGCGGUCUGCGUCCUAUUAGUUUGUUGGUGGGGUAAAAGCCUACCAAGGCUAAGAUGGGUAGCGGGUGUGAGAGCAUGGCCCGUCUCACUGGGACUGAGACACUGCCCAGACGUCUACGGACGGCUGCAGUCGAGAAUCUUCCGCAAUGGACGAAAGUCUGACGGAGCGACGCCGCGUGCGGGAUGAAGGCCUUCGGGUUGUAAACCGCUGUCAGAGGGGAGCAAAUUUUGAGCGAUCCUCAAAGGAAGCACAGGCUAAGUUCGUGCCAGCAGCCGCGGUAAUACGAACUGUGCGAACGUUAUUCGGAAUCACUGGGCUUAAAGGGUGCGUAGGCGGCUACAAAGGUCAGAUGUGAAAUCCCACGGCUCAACCGUGGAACUGCGUCUGAAACCAUGUAGCUUGAGGGAGUCAGAGGUAAGCGGAACUGAUGGUGGAGCGGUGAAAUGCGUUGAUAUCAUCAGGAACACCGGUGGCGAAAGCGGCUUACUGGGACUUUUCUGACGCUGAGGCACGAAAGCUAGGGGAGCGAACGGGAUUAGAUACCCCGGUAGUCCUAGCUGUAAACGAUCUGUACUAGUCUGUGGGGGCUUCCACACCCUCUCGGACGUAGCGAAAGUGUUAAGUACAGCGCCUGGGGAGUAUGGUCGCAAGGCUGAAACUCAAAGGAAUUGACGGGGGCUCACACAAGCGGUGGAGGAUGUGGCUUAAUUCGAGGCUACGCGAAGAACCUAUCCUGGUCUUGACAUGUUUAGGAAUCUCUAUGAAAGUAAGAAGUGCCUUUCGGGGAGCCUUUACACAGGUGCUGCAUGGCUGUCGUCAGCUCGUGUCGUGAGAUGUCGGGUUAAGUCCCUUAACGAGCGAAACCCUUAUCUUUAGUUGCCAGCGAGUAAUGUCGGGGACUCUAGAGAGACUGCCGGUGUAAACCGGAGGAAGGUGGGGAUGACGUCAAGUCCUCAUGGCCUUUAUGUCUAGGGCUGCACACGUCCUACAAUGCGGCGAACAAAGCGAUGCGAACUCGCGAGAGCAGC